AUGUCCCUGAAGCGCUCCGCGAAGAUGGCGGCACCUCCGCCCCCGCCUCCGCCUCCGCCUGCCUCAUCCGAGGAGACCGGCUCCCGCUCGAGCUCUGAAGAGUCGGAGGACGCCAUCGCCGACUCCCCACCUUCCGCCAACACGCGUGUGCCCCCGCACAAGGGCGAGGAGGACGACGAGUCUGACGAGGAGGAGCAGGAUGAGUCCGACGAGGAGGAGGAGGAGCCCGUCCACGCCGCCCCGACAUUCGCCCCCACCCCCAAGUACCAGCCUCCGCCGCAGCAACAGAAAGAGAGCUCGGAAUCUUCCGACGACGAGGAGGAAGAAGAGGAAGAGGAGCCCGCCCAGGCCGCCCCUCCCUCCUCUCCCAAGAAACGGCCUCCACCGCAGCAGAUCGAAGACGAGGGUGAGUCUGAGGAGGAGGAGUUCGAGGAGCAGGAGCCCGCUCACGCUGCCCCGACCGCCGCCCCCACCCCCAAGUACCAGCCUCCGCCGCAGCAACAGAGAGAGGGCUCAGAAUCUUCCGACGACGAGGAGGAGGAAGAAGAGGAAGAAGAGCCCACUCAGGCGGCCCCUCCCUCCGCUCCCAAGAAACGGCCUCCGCCGCAGCAGAUCGACGAGGAAGAAGAGGAGGGUGCCUCCGAGGAGGAGGCGCCACCGAAGCUGGCUCCAAAGCAGGCGCCAGAGGGCGUGAAAACCAAGACCAAGAAGCCAGCCGUGUUCAGCCGCAUCUGGUCCACCGAUGAUGAUGUACGUAUCCUCGAGGCCCUCGCCGUUCACCAAAAGCAGCACGGCACGCUGCCGCAGUCGGAUGCUCUCGUGGACGCCCUUGCAGGCAAGCUCGACAACCGUGCCUACGGCCCCAAGGAGCUGAAGGUCAAGGUCGGAACCCUGAAGCGUCGGUACCAUGCUCUCAGCAAGAGGAGCGAGCUCCUGAGCAAGGAACACGAUCGCCAGGUGUUGGACCUUUCCAAGACCGUCUGGGGCGGUGACAAGAGCACCGCCGCAGCUGCCUCCGUAAAGACGACAGCGAAUGGCCACAAGCGCAAGAGCUUCGAGGAGAUGUGCGAGCUGUACCCGUACUUAGCGGAGGACGUGAAGGAGCUGAUGGUGGAGAACCCGGGCAUGUUCAAGAGUGACUUCGGGAAGAUGGAUCAUGAAAAGGCGCGCGUGAUGAAUGAGAAGAUCAAGAGGCAGAGGGUGGCACAGAUGAAGCUGGGGCUGCGCCGCCACGACCUGAUCAGGGAGGUGACCAAGACAAUCAUCGACCUGGUCGACUGA
rnacentral:rRNA from 1 species